UGCCUUUGGCCAAUAAGAUUGAAGUAGUGCAAGUCAAAUCUGCAUGAAUUUUAAUCUUUACACAGACUUGUUUAAAAGACAAACCUAGUUUACUGGAUGCUGUAACAGCUUAAAAAAAUGAUAGCUCUUUAUGAAGCUGAAGAUUCAGAUCUAUAGGACUGAAUUUGGUAUUGUAUAAUUGGGCUAUAUUUAUGUAAUACCUACUGAGAAGCACCUGAUAGUUUAGAAUCAAGACAUUAAACUCAUUAAGGAAAACUCAAUUGUUAAUAAGCAGUUCAGUGCAUGGCAAAUUCAAAACUACCACAGAAACAUAGCAGACAAAAAUUCAAAAAGCUAAAAAAUAAUAACAGUUUAAAAAAAUUGUCAUGAAAUAUGAACACAAUCACAUCUUUGAUUUUCCUGCCAUUGACUGAGGAAUAGAGAUCAAUAAAUUAAGACGAGAUCAAAGUUCUGUGGGCUUUUUUUCCCUCAGUUUUACUGAGCUCUCAGGAGUCAGUUCACCUAGACUCACUAUUUUUAGCAUCUGAAAGGAAACAUUUUGAAAGAAAUAACCAGCACUGUGUUUACUUACAAAAAAAAAUAAAAUAAAAUAAAAUCAGCACAUAUUCUCUGCAUUGUUUUUAAUUUCUGUCCAACUUUGUUUAGAAGGGUGUGGGAGUAUGUGCAUUUCCAAAUGUGAUGGAAGUACAAUUUUAUAAUACUGACUAACUCCAGUUUUAACAUACAAUAAUAUAAGCAGAUGAAUUUUUUUUUUAGUAAUUUGCAGCAGGUGUGUCAUGUAAUGAGAAGUCACCUGAAUAUUUAGCAUAUAAAUUGUAGGCAACAGGUAGAUAAUAGAAACAGAGCCUGGAUGCAAGCUUUUUGAUUCAAAAUAGUAUUACUGAAAUUAGUCAAGUAAUCAACCUUACUUCUGUCCAAAAGUCAAACAGAUUGGCAAGUAUUUCCAGAAUGAACUUCAUUGUAUGCUUUUUUGGGAAGGCUGGGAGUGCACAAGAAGCUGGAAGGGGGCAGAACAAGGACAGCUGUCCCAAACCAGCCAAAAGGAUGUCCCAUACCAUUCGGUGUAAUGCACAACAAUGAAACUGGGGGAGUUGGCUGAGGGGCCUGCUGCUGCUUGGGGACUGGUUGACGUUCUUUUCCCCAUGCCACUGAAGGGGAAGUGAGUGAAUGGCUGCAUGGUGCUUAGCUGCCUGCUGGACUAAACUAGAACACAAAGAAAUGGAAUUUUGGAUACAGUUAUAUUUGAAGGCAGUCUGUAUACAUCUGAGUACCUUGCUACUGCUGUGAACUUGCAAUUGAUGAGGUAUCUUAGCAGUAAGUUUAAAGAAUGCAAAUUCUGUGUAUUUCAUUUAAAGUGUACAUUAAAUUUUCCCUUCUUUUAGAUUCCCUCUUUCUGAUUCUUCUUGCCUGUCUUUCACCAGCUCAAAAAUGGCUGAAAAAAAGUAUUUAAUCUGUGCCACACUGAAGGUAUAUAUCUGUGCACAUAGGACAGGUAUUCGAAAGGAGACAGUUGUUAAUACAUAUUUAUAACUCCAAGU